CCCUCCUCGGCGGCGGCGGCGGCGGCGGCGGCGGCGGCGGGCGGAGUGAGCUGCGGAGCCUGGAAUAUGGUCGGGGAAAUGGAAACGAAGGAGAAGCCGAAGCCCACCCCAGAUUACCUGAUGCAGCUGAUGAACGACAAGAAGCUCAUGAGCAGCCUGCCCAACUUCUGCGGGAUCUUCAACCACCUCGAGCGGCUGCUGGACGAAGAAAUUAGCAGAGUACGGAAAGACAUGUACAAUGACACAUUAAAUGGCAGUACAGAGAAAAGGAGUGCAGAAUUGCCUGAUGCUGUGGGACCUAUUGUUCAGUUACAAGAGAAACUUUAUGUGCCUGUAAAAGAAUAUCCAGAUUUUAAUUUUGUUGGAAGAAUCCUUGGACCUAGAGGACUUACUGCUAAACAACUUGAAGCAGAAACGGGAUGUAAAAUAAUGGUCCGAGGCAAAGGCUCGAUGAGGGAUAAAAAGAAGGAGGAGCAGAAUAGAGGCAAGCCUAAUUGGGAGCAUCUUAAUGAAGACUUACAUGUACUGAUCACUGUGGAAGAUGCUCAAAACAGAGCGGAGAUCAAACUGAAGAGAGCCGUUGAGGAAGUGAAGAAAUUACUGGUACCUGCAGCAGAGGGAGAAGACAGCCUGAAGAAGAUGCAGCUGAUGGAGCUUGCAAUUCUGAAUGGCACCUACAGAGAUGCCAACAUUAAAUCACCAGCCCUUGCCUUUUCUCUUGCAGCAACAGCCCAGGCUGCUCCAAGGAUUAUCACUGGGCCUGCGCCUGUUCUCCCGCCAGCUGCCCUGCGUACUCCUACGCCAGCUGGCCCUACCAUAAUGCCUUUGAUCAGACAAAUACAGACCGCUGUCAUGCCAAACGGAACUCCUCACCCGACUGCUGCAAUAGUUCCUCCGGGGCCCGAAGCUGGUUUGAUCUACACACCCUAUGAGUACCCCUACACGUUGGCACCAGCGACAUCCAUCCUUGAGUAUCCUAUUGAACCUAGUGGUGUAUUAGGUAUGGCUUUCCCAACGAAAGGCUAAGAAUUCAAGAACGGUCUUAACUGAACCCUCAUCAGAUCUGAAUUUAACAAAUGCUUAGUCUCAGCAGCCUCCGGGGGUGGGGUGGGGGGGAAAGCUUAGCCUAGCAGUCAGUGACUUACUUGCACUUUUUGCACACUGAUAGAAAGUAAAAGUAUGUUAUUAAUUUGGUUUAGUCUGUAAUCUUACAAAGUAACGGUAAUUUAUAAAGGAGUGUAUAGUAGUAUACUGACUGCUAAGUGUACUAUACUGUUUGCUUUACUAAUCACCUAAUUCAUUGCAGUUCAUACUUAUUGACUCAAAGUUUAAAACCACAAUCUGUAGGCUUUAAGAAUUGCUUUUAAAACCUUUUUAAGUGAUAAACUCUGGAAGUGGUCUUAAGGUUAGCAAAUAAUUGUCAGUAUUAAACAUGGCAUUAUUUAAGUGGUCCUGCUGCAAGAAAGGCACUUCAGUGAAUAUGUGACUAGUAAAGCUUAAAUAUGUUUGGAUCUAAUAGAAUUCAUGAAAUACUGUAACUUGGGAUUGUGAAUGAAUGGAUAAAAUAGGUUAAGGCCAAGAUGUUUGAAAUGAAUGCAAUAUUAAUAGACGCAUAUAUACACAACAUACUAUGGUUAAUUUUAAAACUACUGUGCCUUAACGUGUUUCUUAAAAUGAAACUUUUGUAGUAAAUGAACAUUUGAAAUCCAUUUUGAUAAACCUGCUGUUAAUGUUUGUUUUCUUUUCCCUUGUGAAUGUUUCUAACUUUGUCUUGGUAAUUGCAAUUUAACUAGGUGCGGUGGCUACUAAAGUUCGAAGGCACGAUAUGCGUGUCCAUCCUUACCAAAGGAUUGUGACCGCAGACCGAGCCGCCACCGGCAACUAACCUAUGACCUUCUGACCUCUGAACUCUUCACCCAAUGAUGACCUGACCAUGCCUGCCUGCUGAUCAGUUAACUGGUAAUCGCCUUUGCUUGCCUGUCGUCAGUGCAGCGAGCUGAGGCACUUGUCCGUUCGUCUUACCAUCUAACCAAACAAAAGACAAAGAAAUUGUUGUCCUCCAACUCAGCUUUUGGUUUUUCUUUCUGUUUGGGUGAAAGUGAUUCUAGAACCUGCACUGAAUAGUAGUAAAGCAAUAAGGCCCAAUUCAUCCCACAGCACUGAUCAUCUUUUCAUGUCCUACCCUAAGCGAACGGUAAGAAGGCCUCACUUCAGAAGGGGAGACAGAUGGCCCUUAACUACUCAGUGACAGAGGCAGUUACUGUGAGAGACUUCUAGGAACCUUCUUCUCAUAGCGAGUCACAGCUCUCUGAAUGUACUGUGUGAUGAUGCAUCAUGCAUGAACCUUUGGUCAGGGAUGUCAUUGGUGAAGUGAUUUCAAAAAGUAUUCAAAAUUUGAUAUGCUCUUUAGUCACUACAGUGCCCUCAAAGGGCAGAAGUUGCAGCCUUUUUUAUAUUGCCUGCCAAAAUUUGAAGUAUUAGAAGUGUGCCAUGAGAGAAAAAACAAGGAAUUUUGAGAAGUAAUGCAAAGAACAAAACUGCAACACUAUUUUUAAAAAGAUAAAUAUCUGAGUUAAAAUUACUGAACCUUUAUUUUACAACCUCCUUUAAAAAAUAUAUGAGAACAAGGUACAUGCAUUAUGUGUCACAUUACUGGGCAAACUGUUCAAAUAUUUUUUUUAAACCUCCCUGUAUAGAAAAAAAAAAUCAUUAAGGAUGUAAAAGCCAUGCUUGCCUAUUUGCUGUAUACAUGUAAUGAAAUUGUAGAUAAAGUGUAGUGCAUUGAAACAAAUGAACAAAAAGUAGAUACUUUUACUAUACAAGGGUGCUGGUGCAGAAAAAAAUAUAUAUAUUUUUGGAAAUGUAGCAUUUUAUACUUUCAAGUGUUAUAAAAAAAAAGAAAAAGAACAAAGAAACCCUUUAUUUCAUUAAAUGAUUUUUUCUGGUGGUUGUCAAGAAACAAAAGACCAAAAGAGCCUUUUUGUCUUUCUUUUUUAUUUUUUAAGUAUUGGAAUAAGUCUAAAGAAAAGAAAGUGCCUUAUUUUCCUUCAUGGUCAUUUAGUCAAGUGUCUUGUAAGAUCAGCUCCUCCCUCAGAAUACAAGUUAAUGCAUGUUACUCAGUCGCCCGCCCAGUAUGUGAAAGAUUUGAGGGGAGACAAAUGAGUUGAUGGUUUGAAUUAUAUGAUUUUUGCCACGUUACCUUGAUACAAAUUUGCCAAAUCUGAUACUGUGAAAAAAAUUUGAUAACUUUUCUAAUGUCUGACAAGUUUUUAAACAUCAUUCUUUUAAAAUCAUAAUCGAGUGCUUUUGGUUACUGUGAUAUUUAAUGUUAGCCCACAAGGUUCUGAGAUAAAAAAUUAUGUGUGAUCUGAACAUCAGUUUACAGACAAAAGUAGAACUUUAUUUUAUUCAGAGAAAGAGGAGUGUGUUGCAUUUUUUCUUAUUAAAUUGGAAAUAAUAGUAUUCUUAGCAAGCUUUUUCACAAAAAUGAAUCUUUGCGAUUUUCAUUCUGGAUAACAGUAUUUUUUAAUGGCCCAGAUUUAAUCAGACUGCUUUCUGCCAUACCAAAUCACUUGGGUAGUCCAUUUCUUUGGUGGUUUUAGUAACCUAAGUCCCCCCCCACCCCAACCCCAACCCCCACACUUUUUUUUUAACUUUAAGAAAAUGAGAACUGGCAAUAAUUGUGCAUAUAAAUGCUCAACUACAUAUGAGUUUCCAAUUUCUCGUGAAAUUCAUUUAGUUUGGCAGUUGAAGUGAUUUGUGCACAGAGCCAACUAUAUCUAAAUACUUAAGUAAAUAAUCCUUAACUGCUCAGUACCGGAUGUGGCAAAUAUCAAGUGGCAGUGGAUCCCCAGCUUAUCAACUCAUUCCCUCUUGCAUACCUUCACAGCUUCACAGUCAAAGGUCAGCAGUAAGCUCAGUAAGCACCUUCGUGGUGACCUCCUCCAUCAUCUUGUCUCACUUGGAAACCGUUUUCAGUUUAUUUACUAUGCAAUAGACAUUCAUUGUUUUGUAUUCAGCUAGCGUUGGUUUAAUGUGCCACUGCUUUGUCUUUCUGUUACACAUACAGUUGUUUUGAUUUAUUUACAAUAUAUGCUGUGCCAUUUUGAUUUUUAUUUUGUUUGGUUGGUUGAAUAAAUUUGCGACACUCGAACACUUGAGGUGAUAAUAGUUUAACAACAGUACCAGUAUUUGAUCCAGUUUCAUCUCAACUAUGUUAUACCUGGACAUUUUAGAUGUUUAUCAAAGGUCUUUUAUGGGGAAGAAAGUAAAUGUAUGAAAUAAACGUGUGACAUUUAUGAGUAAUGUUGGCUCUGAACAAACUUUUGAAAACUUAGUUGAUAAAAUUUUGGAUCAACUGAAAAAAAGCAUGACUUUUGAAAUCUCUGAAUGCCUUGGUUCUCAGUAUUAUCAUUCUUUAUUGAAUUUAUUUCUUAUUAAAAUAUGUAGUUUUUAAGACUUCUUUUCUGACAGUAUUAUGUAAUUUUUUAGUGUGGGUAGAUGGGAGUGUCGCUUGUAUGUUACCGUACAGCUGACAUGUAUUUUUGUCAAUUCUUUAUUAUCUUAGUAGUUUCAUGCUAUGUAUGUAUCAUAACCAACCUAUUGCCUAUGAGAAACAUGUAAGAUAAUGUAUUUACAGCCAUUGUUACAAGUUUAUAAUGUAUUUUUCUAUCUUGUUUUAUAUGUAUGUUAUAUAACAUUCAAAAAGAAUUUUUUUCUUGAUUGAGAAAAGGAUACAAAAUGCAGAAUCCACAAUUUUGAUAACUGAAAAUUGCCAAUUGUUUUGCAGUACUUUAUUAUAUUGGGUGUCUUGUCUUUCUUGGGCUUUUAGUUAGCUAAUGAAUGAAUACAUUAGACACUUUUGGGUUUUAGUUGGGAUUUUACAUAGCUUGCAUUUUAAUUCUUUGGUUCUUUGCUGUUUCUAUUAACCCAUAGCAUUAUUUUAAUAAAUGUUAUAAUACCAACCUACUAACUCUGGACUAUGUCUGUUUAUUAACCUUUACGUGUUUAAUUAAAAUAAACAAAUAAAGAGAAAAGAAUGUAAAGUCUUGAGUUACUGGACUAACCCUGAAGAACGUGACCACAGAUAACAUAGCGUGACUUGUUUUUAUGUUGUUUGUCAGCUGACAAUUGCGCACACUACUGUUAAAAUGGCUUUGGUUAUUCUGGCCUUUUACCUUGGGUGGGGCGGGGUAGGUGCCAGUAGAGAUGGGAACAAAGUAGCAUUGGUUUGGGGCAUUCUUUUCUAGUCUUGCCACUUGCCUUUCAGCCUCUUGCGUUACUAAUUUCACACUUUUCUUAUUUUUCCUUCUCCAAAAUAAUCACUGUCUGCUCACAGCAUAAAGAGUAAAGAGAUUUGUUGUGAUGAUAUACCCCCCAAAACCAGUUUGAUUCUUUGUUGAACCAUUUAUUUUCAUUUCUAUUAAGUAUUUUAUGGUCACAUUAUAAAGCAAAGAAUCUGGUGAGGGUUUGCCUUUAUUCACAUUUGUGUUUUAAUUGGACAUUUUUCCUUUAUAUAAAUGUUGAACUGUUUUAGUCACUGUUCCUUUUGGGGGCGGGUAGGGUGGAGUGGGGGAGCUCAGCCAGGUAAAGCCAAAGGUAGAGUGGCUCUGUUUCUCAUGACAGUCCAAAGUAAGCCAUUUAUAAUGACCAUGCACCCCACUUCUCUCAUAACCCCUGGUGAGAGAUGAGACCACAUCCUUGAGUUUUCUUGAGGUGUUCUUUCUCUCUCACCCUCUUCCAAAAUACAACCAGAAUACUCCAUUAAUACAGAAGUUAAAGGAAAAUGACAAUGGCAUUUGAGAAGUCAUAGCGUUUCUUGCAUACAAGUCAAUUUUAGAUUUAUUAAAUACCUUAGUCUUUUCUUGGCUGCAACUUAGGUAAAUUGACCUCCACAUAUGAAUUCUUUAAUUCUUGAGGUACAUUUUUUAUUUCACAGAUAUUGGUAAUUUCUGUGAAACAGUUCUCCUGGUUAAUAAGUUCUCAGGAUGAAUUUUUAUGUUUGUAAAUAAUGGCUUAUUUUUGUAAAUUACACUUUAUUUAUUUUAAAGUUCUAAAACUUGGGGCUGAAACGAGUUACAUGUUAUAAAAGGCAUAACUAUACUGAUAAUGUUAUUAACUAGAGUGUCAAAAUACUCCCAUAUUUAUAUAUUUCUAUAGUAUAUCUACAUAAAUGAAUUACAUAAAAUAGUGAUAACGGGUGAUUUAAUCAUAGAGAUUAGUCGUUUGGAUCAAACAUAUAGUUGUUUCUCGGGUGGGGGGGUUGUGUAUUACUGUUAGGUAGAGCUUUAAUAUGCUACUAGCUCAAACGUUCUCAUUGCUAUACAGUUCAUAUAUUAUUUUGUAAAAAUUUGAGGAUGUCUGUCAGGCUGCUAAUCUAUAAGUCAUCAUGGUACCGUGGCACUUAAAUUGAUGAAUUUUUAUGCAACUCACUACACAUUCUCUGAAGCCUUAUGAGUGCAGUCUCAUCUCAUUUUCAGCUAAUGGUACUUCAUGUAUAAGUAUGUCAUAUUGUCACCUUUUAUGUUGGAAAAGUUGUAAAAGACUUUUAAAAAGGUGAAAAGAGUAGUACAAAUCCCAUUUUUAUGCAAGCUGUAAUGGUAUUAAAAAUGAAACUACCAAAAUCUUAGAAUGAUAAAAUGCUAGUCCGUGUAUUGUUUUAUACUGUUGUUUGACAAGACAAUUGAAAGUUAAGCUUUCAGUCGAGAAGUUGGUAAAAUUAACGUACUUAAUAGUUAAGCAUGUUUUUCUUAGGGAAAAUGUCAGGAAGAAUGUAGCAUGAAAGUAGAUACACACGCCCUAGUGCAGUAGCUCCACACAGAGGAGAGUCCACUCAGAGGAGCAGGUGAAGCACCCUGUUCACAAAAGCAAGAUGUGCACAUUUAUACACAAAGUAGGUGGUUAUGGUUUUCUUUAAAAAAAAAAAUGUUAGAUACAAAGGAUCUAAAUUUUCUAGUGUACUUAGAGCAGACAAUAGGUUUAAAUGAAAUUGGUCAUUACCAAAUCAAGAAUCUUCUUUACCAGUGAUGUCUAACACUUUCAUAUCCUAUAUGACAGUUCAGGGUUUUUCCAGUAUUUUUUUGUUUGCUUGUUUGAGAUAAAAGGUCUUUAUUUCUUGAUAACAACUAGCUAUUACAUGAUUUCUAGCAAGUGAUAUUCAGUAGAAAGAAGUGUAAUGCUGUAUUAUAAUGUUAUUUAAUAGCAAAAAUAGCUCAGAAAACUUUUCGACUCCCAAACCUUCUAAGAAGAACCGAAGGCAGUUUUUAAUGUUACAAAUUUCCCUAAUGCCUUUAUUUAAAACAAAGUUGUUAAAUUUUACAGGCAAUAUUUUUAGAAAUAUUCAUAUGGUACAUAAGUAAUUUUGUGGUUUCCUUCGUAAGUUAAUUUGAAAUACCUUUGUUAUAAAGAGACUUUAAAAUUAUAUGCAUACCUGGUACUCAAUGCUGAAUCAAACUGGUCCACCUAAGCAUAGUACUCUCCUUUCUGUGUUUCUGCUGCACUAAUUGCCAGGGGCGGGAGAGGAGGAGGAAGAAUUGAUUCAUAGUAGAAGUGAAUGGUAGGUGCAGCAAAAAGCAACACAAUGUUGAUUGCGCAUUGAUUAUGAUUUUUCUGUCCUUGGUAAAAGACAUCGCCUUGUGGAAAAAGCUCUGCUCCCAGGGUAAGAAAAAAAAACCUAUAUAUUUAAAAUGCUACUGAGAAGUUUUGAUUACCAAAUACAACUUUUAUGGUUUAUACUGUAGUGGUGUGUAUAAGACAUUUAGAACUUGUGGAAAUUGUAUUUAGAGAGAAAAGUUUGAAUAGGUCUCAGAUCACAUGUGAAUGGAGAACCACGUAUGACUGUACAUGAAGUGCAAUAAACCAACUGGAAAAAGUG